rnacentral:lncRNA from 1 species
CAUAUUCCUGUGUUUGUUCUGAGUCUAAAGUGAUACCUAAGAAAACGAUCAUGAAGCAAUAUUUCGACUUUCUGCUGAAAAAGAUGAAAGGUCAGAAGCAAGGCGGAAGAUAAAAUAAAGAAAAAAUAUCCAAACAAGAAAAUGACAAAAGCAAGAUAAAAAAACCUAUUAAAAUGAAUUGACGGAAUCCACACCUUCCUCCUGAUCACUGUUACUACCAAGUUCUUGAACUUCAGGAGUCUCAAAAUACUGACACCAUCCCCACCACUCUUCUGCUGGAUCAUCUUUGAGGCUUGUGUACUGACUGCACAGGAAGAAAUAAUCAACCUAGUUUAUUCUGAACCCAGUCAGUUCCUGACCACAUUCCGUAAAUGCAGGCAUUUGGAAGAAAACAAACUGAUCCACAGGUAACAGAAACCAAAACCUGUGCCGAUGGAGAGAUAGGAAACUGUGACUAAAUGAUUCCAGGUAAGUCCAAUAUAGCAUAAAAGAAAGAAAUGCUGUUGAAAUAUUUAAAGAGAUAGUCAUGCUGGCAUCUCAAACUUCUAAUAGCCAGACCAGCAACUAAGUUACUAUACCAUAGAUAGUGCAAUUUCUUCCAAUCUGACUCUUUCUUGGUCUCUUUUUUUCUUUCCUUCUUUUGAAACUGCAGGUGUGUGCGGCUAGGAUA